AGGGUGUACAAAAAUAGUGCUGUUUCGACAAAACAAAAAGACUCAGGUAUUCUCAUAUUUCUUUUCUGAGCCUAGAUUUGAGCGGGGCCAUUCUAUCUGAUUGUAAUUCCUGUAGGUAAGCAGAUGGUCAGGCAGCAUACCAAGAAUUAUAAUAAUCUAUGUGGGAUGUUCCUAAGACAUGAGUUAAUGCUUUCAAACCCAUAAAGCUUGGGAUUUUAUGGAGAUGAACCACAUUAUAGACCCGCAUGCAAGCAUGUGCUCAUCAGAAUUACUUCAGCUGAAUCAACAGCUCAGCUCAUUUGCACCUCCUGACCUUCUGGAACUGACCUGUGAGAUGCAUCCUCAAACCAAUUUCUUCCCUCCAAGGACUGAAAUUAGAUAUAGAAAGAUACACAUGACUAGCAGUGGUAAUAUGCAUUCUCGAGUUCAGAUUUCUUGAGCUAAAACAAAUAUGAGAGACAAGGUAAACCGCAAUGCCCAAAGCAAGAGAUUUUACAUCGUAACCCACUGCCUCCGUGAGAUUUCAAGGAGCACUACUGGAGAUGACUAGGAAAGAGAUGGGCGGGAGAAGGGAUGGAAAAACUUACAGUAGUAAACCGAUCUGCACAGAUUAUACACAAUUAAUUGAAAACCAACUUUGGUGAAGCGAACGAAAGGCGGGGCUUGGAAUCCUAAACUAAGCGUUAAUCAUGGUUCAGACACUUACUAGUCAGUGGCCUUAAGAGGUUAUUUAAGCUCUUUCUGCCUCAGUGUUCUCAUCCUUAAAAUGGGAAUGAUAAUACCUGCCCCUUAGCAUAGUUGUGAAAUAAUCUGUAUAAAGUACCUGGUACACAGCACACAGUCAAUUAGUGUAUUUUACAUUUCUUUCUCCUUAUAUGUUUCUUUUUAGUAAUAAUAACAAGAUUUUAAAAUCUCACUGUUUUCAAAGCUCUUCUACAUAGGUUUUCUUAGCUGAUCUCACAGCACUAUCUGAUAUAAACAUUAGCUCUUUUUCACAUAAGAGAACACAGAGGCUCAUUCUAGAACCCACACUAGAUUCUGGUCACCAGGGCUACCUCUCAUCCUGUGCUAAUCCCAUUAGACUGAAUAUUGGAAUAGCUGGUUCAUAUGGAAACACAGCUAAAAAUAGUGAGCAGACUCUAAGAUCACCAUAUAACGAUCUAGGGGACUCUUGAUUUGGGCUCAGGUCAUAAUCUCAGGAUCAUGGGAUCAUGUGACGGGAUCAAGCCCCGGAGCUCUUUCCAGAGGACCCAACUAAAGACACUUGGUUACAGCAAUGGUUUCCGGGAAGUAGACUCUGAUAUGGGAUUUUGGAGCUAGAUUGCCCACUGGCCAGCUGGCAAUGAGGACCCCACCAAGGGUGUCUGGGCCUGUAGAAGAGUCAGUCACUCUUGAAUGAAAGAUAAAUGGCACUUCUGUUCCUCCUGGCAGCUGCGUUCCUGCUCCUGAGCCUGGCUGUAAGGCUGAGACCCAAGUGGAGAGCCGCCCUCGAGAUACCUCACGUCUUCUACACCUUUCUGUGCUGCUCAGAACCGAACAUCAAUUUUAUGGAGGAACAGUAAGUGGUCCCAUAUUGAGGAAGCCUGCACAGAUGGUCAUCAUGUACCUACUAGGUGCCAAGCAGUGAGCAACAGAAGAAUUCUUACCCUUUUGGAGAUUACAUUCUUACUGGAGAAGACAAGACAGUAAUAUACAUACAUAUAUGGACAUUUCAAGUCAUCUUAAGUGCUGAAAGAAA